GAGUAAUGCUUGGGAACAUGCCUUGAGGUGGGGGACAACAGUUGGAAACGACUGCUAAUACCGCAUAAUGUCUACGGACCAAAGGGGGCUUCGGCUCUCGCCUUUAGAUUGGCCCAAGUGGGAUUAGCUAGUUGGUGAGGUAAUGGCUCACCAAGGCAACGAUCCCUAGCUGGUUUGAGAGGAUGAUCAGCCACACUGGGACUGAGACACGGCCCAGACUCCUACGGGAGGCAGCAGUGGGGAAUAUUGCACAAUGGGCGCAAGCCUGAUGCAGCCAUGCCGCGUGUGUGAAGAAGGCCUUCGGGUUGUAAAGCACUUUCAGUCAGGAGGAAAGGUUAGUAGUUAAUACCUGCUAGCUGUGACGUUACUGACAGAAGAAGCACCGGCUAACUCCGUGCCAGCAGCCGCGGUAAUACGGAGGGUGCGAGCGUUAAUCGGAAUUACUGGGCGUAAAGCGUACGCAGGCGGUUUGUUAAGCGAGAUGUGAAAGCCCCGGGCUCAACCUGGGAACUGCAUUUCGAACUGGCAAACUAGAGUGUGAUAGAGGGUGGUAGAAUUUCAGGUGUAGCGGUGAAAUGCGUAGAGAUCUGAAAGGAAUACCGAUGGCGA
rnacentral:rRNA from 1 species